rnacentral:rRNA from 1 species
UGGGGAAUUUUGCGCAAUGGGCGAAAGCCUGACGCAGUAACGCCGCGUGGAGGAUGAAGGCCUUCGGGUUGUAAACUCCUGUCAGGAGGAACGACGGGGGUAGAAUGAAUAAUUCUAUCUCCCAGACGGUACCUCCAAAGGAAGCCCCGGCUAAUUCCGUGCCAGCAGCCGCGGUAAUACGGAAGGGGCAAGCGUUGUUCGGAAUCAUUGGGCGUAAAGGGCGCGUAGGUGGUCCUGUGUGUCUAUCGUGAAAGCACACGGCUCAACCGUGUAAAGUCGGUGGAAACUGCAGGACUUGAGGUUGGGAGGGGCUGGUGGAAUUCCCUGUGUAGCGGUGAAAUGCGUAGAGAUGGGGGGAGAACACUUGUGGCGAAGGCGGCCAGCUGGACCAAUCCUGACACUGAGGCGCGACAGCGUGGGGAGCAAACAGGAUUAGAUACCCGCGUAGUCCCUGAGCGGGCUGGCAAGGCGCAU